CGCACGGGUGAGUAACACGUAUCCAACCUGCCGUCUACUCUUGGACAGCCUUCUGAAAGGAAGAUUAAUACAAGAUGGCAUCAUGAGUUCACAUGUUCACAUGAUUAAAGGUAUUCCGGUAGACGAUGAGGAUGCGUUCCAUUAGGUUGUUGGUGGGGUAACGGCCCACCAAGCCUUCGAUGGAUAGGGGUUCUGAGAGGAAGGUCCCCCACAUUGGAACUGAGACACGGUCCAA
rnacentral:rRNA from 1 species